rnacentral:rRNA from 1 species
CAGAGAUGCUUUAGUGCCUUCGGGAACUCUGAGACAGGUGCUGCAUGGCUGUCGUCAGCUCGUGUUGUGAAAUAGUUGGGUUAAGUCCGCAACGAGCGCAACCCUUAUCCUUUGUUGCCAGCACGUAAUGGUGGGAACUCAAAGGAGACUGCCGGUGAUAAACCGGAGGAAGGUGGGGAUGACGUCAAGUCAUCAUGGCCCUUACGAGUAGGGCUACACACGUGCUACAAUGGCGUAUACAAAGAGAAGCGACCUCGCGAGAGCAAGCGGACCUCAUAAAGUGCGUCGUAGUCCGGAUUGGAGUCUGCAACUCGACUCCAUGAAGUCGGAAUCGCUAGUAAUCGUAAAUCAGAAUGUUACGGUGAAUACGUUCCCGGGCCUUGUACACACCGCCCGUCACACCAUGGGAGUGGGUUGCAAAAGAAGUAGAUAGCUUAACCUUCGGGAGGGCGUUUACCACUUUGUGAUUCAUGACUGGGGUGAAGUCGUAACAAGGUAGGCGUAGUGCU